UGUCAAGACAGAUAGUGAUUGUCCCAUAA
rnacentral:piRNA from 1 species